rnacentral:lncRNA from 1 species
UGGCUGUUCCUUAUCGGCAUCUCAUCUAGUCUAGAUCGAUUCCCUAAGAGCUUCUUCUCUAGCAGGCGAUUUGGCCCAUUUUUUCAUUCCUUGUAAUAAGGCAAGGCCUUUCCCUAUCACGACCGCCUUCCUUUCUUCGGCAUUCAUUCAUCUCAAAAGAAAGAGCUAGCGAACCUCACCAAUUCCAUUCCAAUUCUCUCAGACAGAGCAGGAUAGCUGCCAUCAAGCUGCCCCUUUAGAGCGAGGGCCUUCCGAGACCAAUGCUAUCAAGAAGAAGGAAGAAGAGCCUUGAGCUAAAUCAUUGACCUUGCGCCUGCUUUGAUUAGGACAUUGCCGCAUUUCAUCUCAAAGAGGAUCUAACUCUUUCCGGCUUAGCCGAACUACUUGGCUCGGGUCAAUUCAGUCUUUUUUUAUCGCAAGUAAAUAGCAAAAGGGCUGAUGAAAGAGCACCGUCUUCUCUUAUUCCUGAAAACAUUUGCAGAGCAGUUAUUACAAAAAGACUAGCAUCUCUAACAGGAAAAGCAAGCAAAGACCUCCCCUUUUGUUUGGUGGCCUCCCUCCUUGAGAAGGGUCAAAGCAGAAUCAGAAUCAGACUCUCGGACGUGGGAUCUUGCCUAAAGAAAUUUCCAUUGAGCGGGGUAAGUCUCAAAAAGCAUUUCACCGGCACUCAGCCCUUCUCCCCUUACUCCAAGAGCCGAAACAGCCUCUAUUCCUUCAACAGCAGUUAGACCUUUUUCUAAUCCUACUGCCCUUCUCCCAAGAGUUGAAGAAAAGGCUACCGACUUCGCCUACUUUGACUACGCUAUUCUUCCCAUUUCGAAAGAAGAAAAGAAGAAGUAGCCCCGCCAACGACAACAGAUUCAAUAGCUGGGGAUCUUGCUAACAAUGAAACUCCUAACCUUAAAUCAUAUAAGCGGGGAGGUUCUGCUCCUCUCCUUUACAGUCGAGUGGCUCCGCUCCUCCCUUCUGGCCAUUGAAAGCAUUCCAAUUGCAGCUUCUUCUUAGGAUUCGUUCAAAAGAGCAUUUCCCUAAUCUAAUGCCAUGCCCUGAGUCCUAAUCUCCUAAUGCCCUACUCCAACAGCUAAAUCGAUGCAUCGCUUAUUCCCUCAAGCCUUCAAAGAUCGGAUUCUUCCUCUCGGGUUCCUUCACUUAGAGUAGUGAAUCCAGUGAAAGCCGAAGACUAAGAAGAAGGUACGGAAGUCGGGAAAACUACUUCAUACGAUAACGAUACCAUUCACAGCGGAACAAGAAGAAUCACAGUCGACUCAACUUGAGCUAUCGAGUCAGUAGCUGCCUUUAGAGCUGGGAGUUGUAGGGUAGCAGCUAAGAUUAACUAAAAGGACUCUCCUCAACCCUCAACCUAGACGUAGAACUCCUAGCUCUGGAGCUGAUUGAAUUGAUUCUUUUUAACAGCUACCGACUCUUCUCCUCGCUCACUGAACUCCCCCAACCUAGUCUCAGGUCAAGAGAUAAGAGCGAUGGCAUACCAAGAGUCACUCGCUUCCAUUGGGCGAACUUUCAUCUGUUCUCUUUCCUUCUUUCUGCUUUGAUGGUAAAAUGAACCACUUUGCUUAUCACAGUUAGUUCGAUUUUCUUUGAUCCUCAUCUCGUUCACUCACAGAAGACCUUGCCUAGCUCUACUUUCUUAUACCGGGAACCCUAGCUUACUAGGAAGCCUUUCGCUCGUCCCUUCGCACGUGAAUCUUGAUAUCCCCUUUGCCGGGCUAGAGAGCAUUUCUUUCUUCGAUCGGAAUACGGAAAAGAUCAGAAAGGCGGGGCAAACAUUUUUGAGUCCUUGGCCCGGUGUACAGGGCAUCUAAAAUGACCGAGGGCAGUCAAGGCCUCUUCCUUCGGUCUCCCUAAAUGCGGAAACAGGCAUUCAUGAGUUCGGGAUAAGUAAUGUGAUGAAGGAAAGAGUAGGGGCCUCGUCGAAAGUAGUUCAGUUUUCUCAAAGCUUCCGGAGUACAAAUCCUCCCCCGGAAUGACGUCUCCAGAGGGGUUUCUUUAUCUCAUUUGAAUUGCUUCACAAGGAGAUUACUAUGUUAGCAUGUUUUCAAAAUUGGCUUACAAUUUCUAUUGUAAUCGCAAAUGCCAAUCUAUUUU